UACGUAGGGUGCGAGCGUUGUCCGGAUUUAUUGGGCGUAAAGAGCUCGUAGGCGGUUUGUCGCGUCGGCCGUGAAAUCUCCACGCUUAACGUGGAGCGUGCGGUCGAUACGGGCAGACUUGAGUUCGGUAGGGGAGACUGGAAUUCCUGGUGUAGCGGUGAAAUGCGCAGAUAUCAGGAGGAACACCGGUGGCGAAGGCGGGUCUCUAGGCCGAUACUGACGCUGAGGAGCGAAAGCGUGGGGAGCAAACAGG
rnacentral:rRNA from 1 species